rnacentral:rRNA from 1 species
UACGAGUGCCCCAAGCGUUAUCCGGAAUUAUUGGGCGUAAAGGGUGUGUAGGUGGUUUUGUUAGUCUUCUGUUAAAGCUCGCGGCUUAACCGGGAAAGUGCAGGGGAAACGGCAAGACUAGAGGAUGUGAGGGGUCUAUGGAACUCAUGGUGUAGGGGUGAAAUCCGUUGAUAUCAUGGGGAACACCAAAAGCGAAGGCAAUAGACUGGCGCAUUCCUGGCACUGAAACACGAAAGCGUGGGUAGCGAAUGGG